UACAGAGGUCUCAAGCGUUGUUCGGAUUCAUUGGGCGUAAAGGGUGCGUAGGCGGCGCGGUAAGUCGGGCGUGAAAUCUCGGAGCUUAACUCCGAAACUGCAUUCGAUACUGCCGUGCUUGAGGACUGGAGAGGAGACUGGAAUUUACGGUGUAGCGGUGAAAUGCGUAGAUAUCGUAAGGAAGACCAGUGGCGAAGGCGGGUCUCUGGACAGUUCCUGACACUGAGGCACGAAGGCCAGGGGAGCAAACGGG
rnacentral:rRNA from 1 species